GUUUGUUCUUGCUGCAGUUGUUGCUGAGUGCCCCCAGGAGCAAGCAGAGCUGCCAGAGGCAGCAGCAGCCCUGUGCACCCCAAAGCAUUGCAGUGGGGCUGAGCAGUGAUCUGACAGAAGCUGAAGCCAAAUCCCCGGGAUGCAAUGGGACGUGUGGACACAGCAUGAAGGGGAUCUCAUGGUGAGCCCGGGCUAUUUGUUAGUUGUGAACGAGCAGGAUCGUUGUCAAGAGGAGUUCCUGUGUUCAGAAGCAGAGAUGCUGGCUUUCAUCUGCCCCUUUGGGUCCUGCAAAACCCGUGGGUGUGCUGAUGUCAGCAGCUCCUGUGCACAGCAUAGAGGUGCUGGAGUGCUGUGCUGCAGCAGAGCAUGUGGGCUGCAGGAUUUGGCCCUUGACCCAUGGAAAUAAUGUUCAACAUUUUUGAGGCGAGGGCCCUUUGAAGCAUUUCCUCCCAGUGCUGCUCAGCUUUGCUGCUUUGGCCACUGCAGCCCUCCCAGUUGGCAGCCUAGGACUGCACUGAGCCCAUGCAGUACUGUGGCCAGGCCUGGGCGACAAACUCAUCAGAAAAGAGGCUAUGCUGGCGCAUCCCUCCCUCUAGUUUUAGAGCCUUUCAAUUCUGUCUUCUCAGAAGCGCCUGUGAAAUGACCACUCUGGCACACAAAGCUCCAAUGUGGCUGAUAGCUUUGGGGGCAUAGUUUCCUUUAUUUGGAAACAAGCCCUCUGCACUCCAGGACUGCACUUGUCUGCUAAUCAUACCGAAUGUUUGCACAGAGAUUGACCCAUUCAGCAGCUUGUAAUGAAAACUUCCAUCUCAACUUGCUUUUCCAUUUAGGAACCGAUAAUUUACGCGUUUCAAACCUUGUUUCCAUCUUAUGUUUGGUAUUGAAAUGUCAUAAGUUAUUUAAAGUUGAAAGUAAAGCAAAGUAAUACUGUAAUUCUGACUGCCACAAAUGCAAAGGUUGGGGGCUUUUGCUUGAGGAAGACGAGUGACACAAAUGUGCAUUAUGUGCUGCCCCGUGCUGCAGAGCUCUUGGUGAUGCGCUGCACCCUGAAUGCAUUGGGAGUUUACAAGUAGGCUUCACAUAGAGCGUAAUUUACUGCUAUUAAAAAGCUGAACCACUGGGAUAGCAUUCCCUUGCACCAUCCCUGCCCAGGUUAGUGCAUGGAUCUGUGUUGUGUGGUUUGCUGUUAUUUAGUGCCCACCCAUGGGCACUAUGUGGGACGUGUGCCUUCCAUGAGAGCCAUGUGCUGCUGCUACCGGGGGACACAUUUGGGCUCCCAUGAUCGGUGCUGCUCUUAUCACAGCACCAUAGUUUCAGUGCAUUGCUUUUCCUUCCCCCUGCCCUCUCCCAGCUAUGCUUGCUUCUUUGCUUUAUGAAGAAGGCAAUGCUGUUUUCCUUCAUUGCAUACAUUUUCA